rnacentral:rRNA from 1 species
AUUGCACGCUGGCGGCAGGCCUAACACAUGCAAGUCGAACGAGUGGCGGACGGGUGAGUAAUGUCUGGGAAACUGCCCGAUGGAGGGGGCUAACUACUGGAAACGGUAGCUAAUACCGCAUACCAUCGGAUGUGCCCAGAUGGGAUUAUCUAGUAGGUGGGGUAACGGCUCAACUAGGCGACGAUCCCUAGCUGGUCUGAGAGGAGAACCAGCGACCCUGGAAUAUAGCAACGGUCGAGAGUCCUACGGGUGGCCGCAGUGGGGAAUAUUGCACAAUGGGCGCAAGCCUGAUGCAGCCAUGCCGCGUGUAGGAAGAAGGCCGUCGGGUUGUAAAGUACUUUCAGCGAGGAGGCGUUACUCGAAGAAGAAGCACCGGCUAACUCCGUGCCAGCAGCAGCGGUAAUUC